UGAUUUGUAUGCUUCAUUUCUCGGGUUUAAGGUUGAACUGAAGCGAAGAGAAGGAGACGGAGAAUACGGUAAAUGGUGCAUUUGACGUUUUAAAUGAAGUGAUGUAAAAAAGGGGUGUCGGUGGUAGUGGUUCUGCAUAACGGAAAGAACACCCAAUGGUUUCCACAGAUGGGUAGAGGCGACGUCGAUUGUUGAUUGUUGGCCGGUGAUGAUGUCGUGCGAUUCUGGAGAAGAUGAACAAUCGACACAAAUGAUAACAGAUCGAUGUCAAUGGCGAAAAUUUGGCGAAAGGAAACUCAUGUCGACGGACAUAUUAGUAUAUUACCAGUGCACCUGGUGUCGUUUGCCCCGU